AUUUGGAUAGUUCAAUAAAGAAUAAUAAUUUGUGGUAUUAUAGGUGAAUGUCUUCUCUAGAUC
rnacentral:tRNA from 1 species